rnacentral:rRNA from 1 species
UACGGAGGAUGCAAGCGUUAUCCGGAAUUAUUGGGCGUAAAGCGUCCGCAGGUGGUACAUCAAGUCUGCUGUCAAAGACCGGAGCUCAACUCCGGGCAGGCAGUGGAAACUGGUGAACUAGAGUACGGUAGGGGUAGAGGGAAUUCCCAGUGUAGCGGUGAAAUGCGUAGAGAUUGGGAAGAACACCAGUGGCGAAGGUGCUCUACGGGGCCGUAACUGACACUCAGGGACGAAAGCUAGGGGAGCGAAAGGG